AUUGAACGCUGGCGGCAGGCUUAACACAUGCAAGUCGAGCGGGGUGAUGGUGCUUGCACUAUCACUUAGCGGCGGACGGGUGAGUAAUGCUUAGGAAUCUGCCUAUUAGUGGGGGACAACAUCUCGAAAGGGAUGCUAAUACCGCAUACGUCCUACGGGAGAAAGCAGGGGAUCACUUGUGACCUUGCGCUAAUAGAUGAGCCUACGUGGGAUUAGCUAGUUGGUGGGGUAAAGGCCUACCAAGGCGACGAUCUGUAGCGGGUCUGAGAGGAUGAUCCGCCACACUGGGACUGAGACACGGCCCAGACUCCUACGGGAGGCAGCAGUGGGGAAUAUUGGACAAUGGGGGGAACCCUGAUCCAGCCAUGCCGCGUGUGUGAAGAAGGCCUUAUGGUUGUAAAGCACUUUAAGCGAGGAGGAGGCUCUUUUGGUUAAUACCCAAGAUGAGUGGACGUUACUCGCAGAAUAAGCACCGGCUAACUCUGUGCCAGCAGCCGCCGCUG
rnacentral:rRNA from 1 species